GAUUGAGACCAUCCUGGCUAACACGGUGAAACCCCGUCUCUACUAAAAAUACAAAAAAAUUAGCCGGGCGUGGCGGCGGGCGCCUGUAGUCCCAGCUACUUGGGAGGCUGAGGCAGGAGAAUGGUGCGAACCCGGGAGGCAGAUUUUGCAGAGAGCCGAGAUCGUGCCACUGCACUCCAGCCUGGGCGACAGAGCAAGACUCCGUCUCAAAACAAAAAACAAACAAACAAAUAUGGAGCAUUCUGAUAUGAAUAAGACACUUGCUCACUUCUCAAUUCCUUGGUGUCCAGCUCUACAAGUGUAUAUAGACUUCCAAAGAAUAUUUAAAUCCUUUAACAAAAAUGCCACCUAAGAAAAUAUGAAAUACUUCAGUCUGUCUGUCAGUGCUCACUUCCUGUCUAGAAACUUUCAGGCUCCGGCACAAAUGAACCAUGUUCUUCGCCUAAGUCAUUUAUGGAACAUCUGCUUUCGGUUUAGCAUCAGCUUUGUGACCUAGUAAUAUCUUUCUCGAGUGCAUGAAACAUCUCAGAAAUGCAAACAUCAAGGAAGAUACUAAUCCUUUCUUCCAGUUUCUGUGUGAGGGUUGGAGGCUGACUUUGGUGGUGAUCUUGCUCCAAAUUAUAGAACUACAUCCUGUCAUGAAGAGAAGUUUGUCUUCUCGAUAAAGCCAAGUAGCUAACAGAGAUGGUCACCCCAAUUACCAGAUGGACAUAAUUAUACUUGAAUGCUGACCUACAACAUUUUGUGCUGUGCAGAGGCUUUGAAAAUCAAACAACUUUGAAAAUACAAAGCACCGCGUGGAUGAUGCUGGAUGCGUAGUUUGACCAAUUAUGGCUCUUGAUGUCGACUGAAGUGGUCACUUGAUUCCUAUUAGCGGCCUCACUCUGUCGCUCAGGCUGGAGUGGCACGAUCUUGGCUCACUGCAGUCUCUGCCUCCUCCUCUUGGAUGCAAGCAAUUCGGCCUCCAAGUAGCUGAGAUUACAGGUGCGUGCCACCACACUCUGCUAAUUUCUGCAUUUUUAGUAGAGAUGGGGUUUCACCAUGUUGGCCAGACUGGUCUCCAACUCCUGGCCUCAAGUGAUCCACUUGCCUCAGCCACCCAAAGUUCUGGAUUACAGGCGUGAGCCAUUGCGCCUGGCCUAGUAAACAUAUUUUUUUUAAAUAAAAAUGUUAUUUUAUCAUUUACAUAAGAUCAAAAACAUGUCUAUUGGAUUCCACCGCCCAGAUCCUUACACUGUACAUUCUAUUUUGCCUCAAAUUUGACUCUCUUCACUUGCUUUUAAGCUCUGGAUGAGUUUGAUUCCAACUAGUUCAAAAGAAAAAUGGAGCAUCCCAAAAGAACAUAAAACUAAUAAAAAUCAACUUGUUUAUGAAUCUAAAAUGAUAAAAAGCAAUACAUUUAAAA
rnacentral:lncRNA from 1 species